GCAGUAGUAGCUCAGUUGGUAGAGCAUCGGCUUCCCAAGCCGAGGGUCGCGGGUUCGAGUCCCGUCUACUGCU
rnacentral:tRNA from 1 species